rnacentral:misc_RNA from 1 species
GAUGAAGAACGCAGCGAAAUGCGAUAAGUAAUGUGAAUUGCAGAAUUCAGUGAAUCAUCGAAUCUUUGAACGCACAUUGCGCCCGCCAGUAUUCUGGCGGGCAUGCCUGUUCGAGCGUCAUUUCAACCAUCAAGCCCCCGGCUUGUGUUGGGGACCUGCGGCUGCCGCAGGCCCUGAAAACCAGUGGCGGGCUCGCUAGUCACUCCGAGCGUAGUAAUACAUCUCGGUCAGGGCGUGCUGCGGGUUCCGGCCGUUAAAAAGCCUUAUUUACCCAAGGUUGACCUCGGAUCAGGUAGGAAGACCCGCUGAACUUAAGCAUAUCAAUAAGCGGAGGA